rnacentral:rRNA from 1 species
GAUGAACGCUAGCGGCAGGCCUAAUACAUGCAAGUCGAACGGUGUCUUCGGACAUAGUGGCGCACGGGUGCGUAACACGUAUGCAACCUACCUUACAUUGGGGGAUAGCCUUUCGAAAGGGAGAUUAAUACCGCAUAAGACAGUAGCUGGGCAUCCAGCAGCUGUUAAAGAUUUAUCGAUGUAAGCUGGGCAUGCGUCCAAUUAGCUAGUUGGUGAGGUAACGGCUCACCAAGGCAAUGAUUGGUAGGGGAACUGAGAGGUCAAUUCCCCACACGGGCACUGGGAUACGGGCCAGACUCCUACGGGAGGCAGCAGUAGGGAAUAUUGGGCAAUGGACGCGAGUCUGACCCAGCCAUGCCGCGUGCAGGAUGAAGGCGUUAUGCGUUGUAAACUGCUUUUAUACAGGAAGAAACGACUCUUGCGAGAGGCAUUGACGGUACUGUAUGAAUAAGCACCGGCUAACUCCGUGCCAGCCGCCGCCGUAAGAC